GGGUUGUGAGGUUAAGCGACUAAGCGUACACGGUGGAUGCCCUGGCAGUCAGAGGCGAUGAAGGACGUGCUAAUCUGCGAUAAGCGUCGGUAAGGUGAUAUGAACCGUUAUAACCGGCGAUUUCCGAAUGGGGAAACCCAGUGUGAUUCGUCACACUAUCAUUAACUGAAUCCAUAGGUUAAUGAGGCGAACCGGGGGAACUGAAACAUCUAAGUACCCCGAGGAAAAGAAAUCAACCGAGAUUCCCCCAGUAGCGGCGAGCGAACGGGGAGGAGCCCAGAGCCUGAAUCAGUGUGUGUGUUAGUGGAAGCGUCUGGAAAGGCGCGCGAUACAGGGUGACAGCCCCGUACACAAAAAUGCACAUACUGUGAGCUCGAUGAGUAGGGCGGGACACGUGGUAUCCUGUCUGAAUAUGGGGGGACCAUCCUCCAAGGCUAAAUACUCCUGACUGACCGAUAGUGAACCAGUACCGUGAGGGAAAGGCGAAAAGAACCCCGGCGAGGGGAGUGAAAAAGAACCUGAAACCGUGUACGUACAAGCAGUGGGAGCCUCUUAAUGGGGUGACUGCGUACCUUUUGUAUAAUGGGUCAGCGACUUAUAUUCUGUAGCAAGGUUAACCGAAUAGGGGAGCCGAAGGGAAACCGAGUCUUAACUGGGCGUUAAGUUGCAGGGUAUAGACCCGAAACCCGGUGAUCUAGCCAUGGGCAGGUUGAAGGUUGGGUAACACUAACUGGAGGACCGAACCGACUAAUGUUGAAAAAUUAGCGGAUGACUUGUGGCUGGGGGUGAAAGGCCAAUCAAACCGGGAGAUAGCUGGUUCUCCCCGAAAGCUAUUUAGGUAGCGCCUCGUGAAUUCAUCUCCGGGGGUAGAGCACUGUUUCGGCAAGGGGGUCAUCCCGACUUACCAACCCGAUGCAAACUGCGAAUACCGGAGAAUGUUAUCACGGGAGACACACGGCGGGUGCUAACGUCCGUCGUGAAGAGGGAAACAACCCAGACCGCCAGCUAAGGUCCCAAAGUCAUGGUUAAGUGGGAAACGAUGUGGGAAGGCCCAGACAGCCAGGAUGUUGGCUUAGAAGCAGCCAUCAUUUAAAGAAAGCGUAAUAGCUCACUGGUCGAGUCGGCCUGCGCGGAAGAUGUAACGGGGCUAAACCAUGCACCGAAGCUGCGGCAGCGACGCUUAUGCGUUGUUGGGUAGGGGAGCGUUCUGUAAGCCUGUGAAGGUGUACUGUGAGGUAUGCUGGAGGUAUCAGAAGUGCGAAUGCUGACAUAAGUAACGAUAAAGCGGGUGAAAAGCCCGCUCGCCGGAAGACCAAGGGUUCCUGUCCAACGUUAAUCGGGGCAGGGUGAGUCGACCCCUAAGGCGAGGCCGAAAGGCGUAGUCGAUGGGAAACAGGUUAAUAUUCCUGUACUUGGUGUUACUGCGAAGGGGGGACGGAGAAGGCUAUGUUGGCCGGGCGACGGUUGUCCCGGUUUAAGCGUGUAGGCUGGUUUUCCAGGCAAAUCCGGAAAACUAAGGCUGAGGCGUGAUGACGAGGCACUACGGUGCUGAAGCAACAAAUGCCCUGCUUCCAGGAAAAGCCUCUAAGCAUCAGGUAACAUCAAAUCGUACCCCAAACCGACACAGGUGGUCAGGUAGAGAAUACCAAGGCGCUUGAGAGAACUCGGGUGAAGGAACUAGGCAAAAUGGUGCCGUAACUUCGGGAGAAGGCACGCUGAUAUGUAGGUGAAGUCCCUCGCGGAUGGAGCUGAAAUCAGUCGAAGAUACCAGCUGGCUGCAACUGUUUAUUAAAAACACAGCACUGUGCAAACACGAAAGUGGACGUAUACGGUGUGACGCCUGCCCGGUGCCGGAAGGUUAAUUGAUGGGGUUAGCGGUAACGCGAAGCUCUUGAUCGAAGCCCCGGUAAACGGCGGCCGUAACUAUAACGGUCCUAAGGUAGCGAAAUUCCUUGUCGGGUAAGUUCCGACCUGCACGAAUGGCGUAAUGAUGGCCAGGCUGUCUCCACCCGAGACUCAGUGAAAUUGAACUCGCUGUGAAGAUGCAGUGUACCCGCGGCAAGACGGAAAGACCCCGUGAACCUUUACUAUAGCUUGACACUGAACAUUGAGCCUUGAUGUGUAGGAUAGGUGGGAGGCUUUGAAGUGUGGACGCCAGUCUGCAUGGAGCCGGCCUUGAAAUACCACCCUUUAAUGUUUGAUGUUCUAACGUUGGCCCCUGAUCGGGGUUGCGGACAGUGUCUGGUGGGUAGUUUGACUGGGGCGGUCUCCUCCUAAAGAGUAACGGAGGAGCACGAAGGUUGGCUAAUCCUGGUCGGACAUCAGGAGGUUAGUGCAAUGGCAUAAGCCAGCUUGACUGCGAGCGUGACGGCGCGAGCAGGUGCGAAAGCAGGUCAUAGUGAUCCGGUGGUUCUGAAUGGAAGGGCCAUCGCUCAACGGAUAAAAGGUACUCCGGGGAUAACAGGCUGAUACCGCCCAAGAGUUCAUAUCGACGGCGGUGUUUGGCACCUCGAUGUCGGCUCAUCACAUCCUGGGGCUGAAGUAGGUCCCAAGGGUAUGGCUGUUCGCCAUUUAAAGUGGUACGCGAGCUGGGUUUAGAACGUCGUGAGACAGUUCGGUCCCUAUCUGCCGUGGGCGCUGGAGAACUGAGGGGGGCUGCUCCUAGUACGAGAGGACCGGAGUGGACGCAUCACUGGUGUUCGGGUUGUCAUGCCAAUGGCACUGCCCGGUAGCUAAAUGCGGAAGAGAUAAGUGCUGAAAGCAUCUAAGCACGAAACUUGCCCCGAGAUGAGUUCUCCCUGACUCCUUGAGAGUCCUGAAGGAACGUUGAAGACGACGACGUUGAUAGGCCGGGUGUGUAAGCGCAGCGAUGCGUUGAGCUAACCGGUACUAAUGAACCGUGAGGCUUAACCUUACAACGCCGAAG
rnacentral:rRNA from 1 species